rnacentral:rRNA from 1 species
AGUGAACGCUGGCGGUAGGCCUAACACAUGCAAGUCGAACGGCAGCACAGUAAGAGCUUGCUCUUACGGGUGGCGAGUGGCGGACGGGUGAGGAAUACAUCGGAAUCUACUUUUUCGUGGGGGAUAACGUAGGGAAACUUACGCUAAUACCGCAUACGACCUACGGGUGAAAGCAGGGGAUCUUCGCACCUUGCGCGAUUGAAUGAGCCGAUGUCGGAUUAGCUAGUUGGCGGGGUAAAGGCCCACCAAGGCGACGAUCCGUAGCUGGUCUGAGAGGAUGAUCAGCCACACCGGAACUGAGACACGGUCCAGACUCCUACGGGAGGCAGCAGUGGGGAAUAUUGGACAAUGGGCGCAAGCCUGAUCCAGCCAUACCGCGUGGGUGAAGAAGGCCUUCGGGUUGUAAAGCCCUUUUGUUGGGAAAGAAAAGCAGCAGGUUAAUACCCCGCUGUUCUGACGGUACCCAAAGAAUAAGCACCGGCUAACUUCGUG